GACGAAGGGGGGCUAGCGUUGUUCGGAAUUACUGGGCGUAAAGCGAGUGUAGGCGGUUGUCAUAGUCAGGUGUGAAAGCCUUGAGCUCAACUCAAGAAAUGCACUUGAUACUGGAUGACUAGAGGACCGGAGAGGAUAGUGGAAUUCCCAGUGUAGUGGUGAAAUACGUAGAGAUUGGGAAGAACACCAGUGGCGAAGGCGGCUAUCUGGACGGUUACUGACGCUAAGACUCGAAAGCGUGGGGAGCAAACAGG
rnacentral:rRNA from 1 species